UGACACUGUUUACGUCAUCAUUCCUCGACGAAACAUGGUCGCAGUUGCUGCUUUAGUUUUUGCAGAAGGACGAAUGUCAAUAAUACGAUACUUCACAGUAACAUCAAGUCGUCUGGUUUGCCAGGCUUUAACUGUGAACCCAGUUUUCACACAUAUGAAUGCUAGAUCAUUUACAAGCGGGGUGAUAAAGGACAAGGAGCCACUAAGAAAGCCGAAAACUCCACUGGGCCGGUUUGAUAGUUCCGAAAAAGAAGAUGCAAAAAAUAAGGACGUCCUGGAAAGAUUCCCGGACGAUAUAA